rnacentral:tRNA from 1 species
GGACCAGUAGCUCAGGGGAUAGAGCGUCGGUUUCCUAAACCGUGCGUCGGGUGUUCGAAUCGCCUCUGGUCCACCA